rnacentral:tRNA from 1 species
ACUUAUAUAGUAUAAAAAUUACAUUUAACUUCCAAUUAAAAAAAUUAUUAAAUCUUUAAUAAUAUAAGUA